rfam:Felis catus isolate Cinnamon breed Abyssinian chromosome B2, whole genome shotgun sequence.
GCCUGGGUGGCUUGGUCGGUUAAGCGUCUGACUUCGGCUCAGGUCAUGAUCUCACGGUCCGUGAGUUCGAGCCCCGCGUCGGGCU